AUGCCUCCUGUAACAGCUGUAUUACACUGGAAUGUAGGACUGCUGUUUGUCUUCCUCCUGGAGUUUACAUCUGCAGACCAGAAAAAUAUCACAGCUAAGUCUGGACAGGAUGUCACUCUGCCAUGUCAAGCGCCAGACAACAACAUCAUCAUGAUCAUAGAGUGGAGCAAAACUGACCUCAAGGAAGAAUAUGUUUUUGUGUAUCGGAAUAAGAUGCCCGAUCUGGAAAACCAGCAUCCAUCUUUUAAAAACCGAGUGGAUCUGCAGGACAUACAGAUGAAGGAUGGAGACGUGUCUUUGAUUCUGAACAAUGUGACGAUUAAUGACACUGGAACAUACCAAUGCCAUGUCUUUACAACAAAAACUCAAAGGAAGAGAGAAAAUCACAGUGUUGUCCCCAUCAGCAUCAUCUACCUUCAUGUUGAUCCUCCAGGUGAGUGAGUAGAGUUGAGUGUGUGUGUGAUCAGAGGUGAAGCUGCUUCCUGGUUGUUGAUGUUUGUUUCUAAAGAUGUUGUUGAUGAGACUUUGUAGAAAGCAGCUGGUCUGAGUGAUGUGAUCAGAGUGCAGUAGAUAAUGUCUGACAGCAGUUUGAAGAGGAAAUGGAUUCUGUUCUGUUCUUCACUCAUCACCUACCUGACAGCUGACACCUCACACCUGUUUCUCACCUGCAGGUCAGACAGGAGGACACACAGAGGAUGGAUCUGUUGGACUGAUAGUUGAUCACUUUCUGCUUUGGUUCUGGUUGCUGCUGCUGGUUUUGUGAUCUACAGAAAACUUAAUGCUCAUCAGAGACAGGAUUCCUACCAGCCUGCGGCCUGCAGCAAGUUUGAAAUUCUGCCAUUCCAAGCUUGAUGUUUUCGCUCAGCAAGGCUCAAGACAUUACCUGACAAUGUACAGAAAUAAAUGUUACUUCAUAUCACUACCAUAAAAACAUUUCUAGAAUUUGAGAAACUGACCAAUAAGUGGCUGAAACAAGCACAAAACUAGAGUAUAAUUGCAGCAUCAUCCACUGUGAUGGGCUCUAAAGAUGUUGGAGCUGCUGAUAAACACGUUCCCAGCGGUGAACCAGACUGAGAAAAAAACCCCCCUCUUUCCUGUUUGUUCCCAUGCUGCAUAAAAAAUUUAAAUCACAUCCAUGGAUUAAAUUGUGCUGAAUGUGGGAUUUCUCUUUCCCAAACUCAGAGGGUGACAAGCUGUUUGACACGACUGGUGUGUUGGUGGGUCAGAGGAUGUGAACUCUCAUACACGAUCACAUCUCAAACAGUCCAGUGCACUUCAUGAAACAGUCACAACAUCUAAUCAUGAUUCAUGUCCCUGAACACUAAAUUAAUAUUUUCCCCUUUCAUCACAUUUGAACUAAUUCACUGUUUACACGUCUAAGCAAAAAAAACAACAACAAAACUCCCUGGAACGUCUGCAGGUUGUUCAAAAUGCUGCAGCAAGGCUUCUGUACGAAUCCUCGAAGUACUCACAUGUGACACCGUUGCUAAUACAGCUGCAGUGGCUCCCCAUUUUAAGAUCCUGGUUCUGACCUCUAGAGCUCUUCGUGGACAAGCACCAGUGAUACAAGCAUCACUGAACUUCUACAGCCAUAUGUCCCCAGCUGGUCAUGUGAUCAGGGCUACUUGUUAUACAGCAUACAAGGCUGAGAACUAUGGGAGACAAAGCUUUAGCCACUGUGGCUCCCAGACUGUGGAACUCUCUCCCACUGAGUGUAAGAUCUGUGGACUCAGCAGCCUCGUUUAAAAACAACUAAAACUUAUCUUUUUAGAAUUACAUUUAGGGAACUUUUCGUCUGUUUCUGUUUUUGUUUUACACCUUGUUAUUCUCUGUGUGAAGCACUUUGUGAUCUUUUGUCUAGAAAGGUGCUGUAUGAAUAAAAUGUUACUUUACUUUCUGCUGCUGCCGCUGUUUUUUUUUAAUCUAUGGACAACACAGUCGGAGUUUAUAUCGGUUUGUUGUUGAACUGCAGCGUGUUUGAAACGUGUCAGAUGGAAACAUCACGCUGAAUGAUCAGCCAGCCGACCCUCACACUCAACAGAGACUGGGGUUUGAAGAGGAAAUGGAGUCAUUCACUACUGACUCAUGUUUCCUGAAGGGUGAACUCUUGCACAGGAACAUGAAUCCCUGAGUCCCUGAAGUAGUCCGACACAGUCUCACAGCACUUCAUGAAACAGUCACAACCUCUAAUCCUGUCCCUGAACACAAGAUUAAUAUUUUCCACAUUUAAAGUGAUAAAAAGUUCACAUUUGGAGCUUGGAGAGGCUCACAGUGGAGCAAAUCAUUUCAGUUCACACCACAGACACAAGUUUGUCACAGAUUUUUACACUUAAGGUUCAGAGUUUAAACACACUAAUAAAGAUCAUGUUUGGGUUAAAAUACUGAGGCUGCCACUUCUUCAGGCUCUGUUUCCAUGGUGACACAUGCCCGGCAAUGGUGCACAUGAAAGAUACCACCUCCUGAAAUACUUCACCUACAAAGUCAUGCUACUGGGUACUAUGGUCAACACUUUAUUUUUAUUUAGAGAAACUAAUGUUGAAAUGUAAGCAUUCCUACAGGAACCAGUUUGUUCCUGCUAAUUUCAUAUUUUCUGUGAUCCAGAGCUCAGAAUUACUGUGCAGCACAGAUUUCCUUUUCAUUGUUACAAAGUGUUUACUCUAACAGUUUCCUCCUCGAACACAUCCCCUCACUUAAAGUAAAUUCUUUUCAUUAGUGCUAUGCAAUAGUGUAAAAAAAACAUUUCCUGUGGAAGUGAUUAUUAAAGACAUUUAUCCUUUACUUCAUCCUGCAUUUGACUUGGCCUACUGUUUCCAGUAGUUAUCUUGCAGAAACAGAAAUAAAGUAUAAACAUCCCAUACCCACCCUCCUCUGUUCUCGGAAACUGGGAGUGUGUGCGCUUUGGGGCAUAUUUUUAAAAACAGUUUGUGCCUGAUACAUAGAGGUUAUGUGUUGACUUUUAAACAGCGAAGAUGUGAUUUCA
rnacentral:lncRNA from 1 species